rnacentral:rRNA from 1 species
UGCAUAUGCCUGUCUCAAAGAUUAAGCCAUGCAUGCCUAAGUCUUGGCUCUAGUACAGUGAAACCACGAAUGGCUCAUUAAAUCAGCUAUUGUUCAUUAGAUCAUAACCGUUACAUGGAUAACUGUAGUAAUUCUAGAGCUAAUACAUGCCUCAAUGCCGUGACCCGUAAGGGAAUCGGUGCACUUAUUAGAACAAGACCAACCAGGUAGCUGGACUUAAUUGUUCCAGUGGCCUGUGUCGUGUCGUGUUGACUCUGGAUAAUUACGACAGAUCGCAGUCGACCUUUGUUGUCGGCGACAAUUCUUUCAAAUGUCUGCCCUAUCAACUUACGAUGGUAGGCGACCUGCCUACCAUGGUGAUAACGGGUAACGGGGAAUCAGGGUUCGAUUCCGGAGAGGGAGCCUGAGAAACGGCUACCACAUCCAAGGAAGGCAGCAGGCGCGCAAAUUACCCACUCCCGGCACGGGGAGGUAGUGACGAAAAAUAACGAUGCGGGACUCAUACGAGGCUCCGUAAUCGGAAUGAGAACACUCUAAAUCCUUUAACGAGGACCAAUUGGAGGGCAAGUCUGGUGCCAGCAGCCGCGGUAACUCCAGCUCCAAUAGCGUAUAUUAAAGUUGCUGCAGUUAAAAAGCUCGUAGUUGGAUCUUGACGGCAUUACUGCGUGUUUGGGUUUCAUUGCUUUGCUUAUGUCCUGUAUCUGCAUGCAUAUCGUAUAUCACGUAUGUAUGUAUGAUAUUAUGGUUCUGGGCACAUUGUGCCCAACUCGUCGGUGGUGAAGUCUUUCAGCCGUGUCUGUUGUCUUUGCUCUUUGUAUGCUAUCUGCGCAUUGUUGCAAUGUACUAUUAGUCAUACAAACUGUAUAAGGUGCAGGUGCCGAUAGUUGGAAUUUUGGGUCCGUCCCAGCCUUCUGUUGGUACGCCUCGUGAUGCUCUUAACUGAGCCGUCGCGGGUGCGGACGGCAUGUUUACUUUGAACAAAUUUGAGUGCUCAAAGCAGGCCUACGUGCCUGAAAAGUCUUGCAUGGAAUAAUGGAAUAGGACUUCGGUUCUAUUUUGUUGGUUUUCGGUUCCGAAGUAAUGGUUAAGAGAGACAGACGGGGGCAUUUGUAUGGCGGUGUUAGAGGUGAAAUUCUUGGAUCGCCGCCAGACAAUCUGAAGCGAAAGCAUUUGCCAGGAAUGUUUUCAUUGACAAAGAGCGAAAGUCAGAGGUUCGAAGACGAUCAGAUACCGUCCUAGUUCUGACCAUAAACGAUGCCAACUGACGAUCCGCGAAGGUAGUACAUAUCGUCCUCGCGGGCAGUCUCCGGAAAACCUGUAAGUCUUUGGGUUCCGGGGGAAGUAUGGUUGCAAAGCUGAAACUUAAAGGAAUUGACGGAAGGGCACCACCAGGAGUGGAGCCUGCGGCUUAAUUUGACUCAACACGGGAAAACUCACCCGGCCCGGACACUGUGAGGAUUGACAGAUUGACAGCUCUUUCUUGAUCCAGUGGUUGGUGGUGCAUGGCCGUUCUUAGUUGGUGGAGCGAUUUGUCUGGUUAAUUCCGAUCACGAACGAGACUCUAACCCUGCUAAAUAGUACACCGGUAAAUCGUGUUCGUACGGGAUGCCCUGUUAAUCGUGUAGGAUGUUGCCAAUGCGUAGCUUUGCAUAAAAAAUGUGUUGUUAUCAUUGAUGAUGUCUAUACAGUUUGGCAUUGCUCUUUGACGAACACUAUGCAGGUGAAACUUCUUAGAGGGACAAGUUGACUUUAAAACAGCACGAAAUUGAGCAAUAACAGGUCUGUGAUGCCCUUAGAUGUCCGGGGCCGCACGCGCGCUACAAUGACAGUACCAGUGUGUAUGAUGACCUUGCCUGAAAAGGUUGGGUAAACCGUUCCAUUACUGUCGUGACAGGGAUCGGGGUUUGUAAUUAUCCCCCGUGAACGAGGAAUUCCCAGUAAGUGCAAGUCAUAAGCUUGUGCUGAUUACGUCCCUGCCCUUUGUACACACCGCCCGUCGCUACUACCGAUUGAAUGGUUUGGCAAGGUCCUCAGAUUGGUACCAUUGUAGUGGUUAGUUAUCACGUGUUAGUGAUACGUCUGCUCGACAGGUACUGAGAAGAGGACCAAACUUGAUCAUUUAGAGGAAGUAAAA